UGAAGGAGCAUGCUGGGUCCUGGCAGUGGUUAGUUCACAGUAAGCCUGCAAAUUAACACUUGUGUCUCAGAAUCCCAGCUGUUGACAGGAAAGCUAUAUUCUUUACUCGGUUGUUUGGCAAGAAAGGGUUUUCUUUGUUGCCUCUCAACACACUUUUCAGGUUUCUUUUUUUCCCCUUCCUUAACUCAGUGAUAUUGGCAUGCUGUUCCUUGGAAGUGGAAGCUCCUGGUAGGAAAACUGUAGCAUUGAAGAAAAACUCACGCAUUUUGGUUAACGCCAUCCAGAUUAUUGUUCUGGGAUGCAGAAUGCAGCAGGCCUUGGGAUACCCACCUGCAGCUGCCACCUCCACAACACUUCAUCUGUGUACUGUGCUUGUGAACAUGGAGGGCCAGAAGAAUGAUAACAUGUGCUGCUGUCCUGUUCUCCCCCUGAAACUCCUCUGAUUUUCCUGUGUGUGUUCAACAUGAUAUAUACUUCUCUCUUUUUCAAGAUGAUGACCUAUUUUUCUACCAUCACUGCAGAAUACAUUAUCAUAAACCAUAUUUUUCACGUUUAUUGCGCUGGACUGUAGAAUCAUUAUUUAUAAGAAUUAUAAGGUUGUCUACGUGUUUUAUUUUCAGCAUUAAACUUGGCUGAAGUUAGAGUGAACUAUUUUCCAUUCUUAACUUAUUUUGUAGGUCAGAAGAGCAGCGUGUGGGUGUCAAAAUACGAGCAGUCUCACAGUCGUCAGAAUUAUAGCAGUUCCCAAACUAUUUCCAACAAUAGGCUUUGAAAUAAGAGAGAAUACCACUUCUCAUAUACUGACUUCCCAUCCAAAACAAAUGUAAGAUUAAAAUAGUAUCUGCUUGCAGGAGGAAAUCACUUGAGGCCAGGACUUUAAGUUGGAAAAGACCUGAAAAAUACUGCAAAAGAACCCUGUGCUUUAGAAAAAGCAUUUUGAGAAUACGCUUUGAAAAAAGCGUGGCAUUUAAACUGUGCAUCUUCAUAUUCCUGAAGCAUCCUAACAACCUUACACAAAGCCAAGCUCUCUUUCUCUCCUUCAGAUCUAUUUGCCUGUCUUUUGGAUUCAUGUUCUUCUCUUGCAGGUAAAAAUGCUCUCCCAUGGACUGACCUCUAGGCUAGAGAAAACUUGUUUGGAAUUUGUCUUUGUUUCCUGACAACUCAUACCCACAAAAAGCCUAACGGAUGAAUCCUGCCCUCUUUUUGGGAGGUAGCUGGGAAGGAAAUAUCCUACUCAUUUUGAGUAGAUUUUUAAAAAGGUAAUCUCUACAAGUACAGAUCUUACAGUGCUAAAGGAAUAAGAGCUCUCCAUCAGGGAUGUGAAAGAGGACAGCGAUCCAAGUAGCCUUGCUCUUUGCAAAACUGAUCUGACACUUUCAGUUAAGACAAGCCUCUGAAGACCAGUUUUUCACAGUUAAUCCUCAGCUGCAAAGCUUGAGACACCAGAGCCUGACUGGAGUAGCUCUAAGACCUGAAGCUGCCAACCUAAUGGAGAUGAGCCUUGCCCUGAGCACAGGAGAGCUGUAUUGCUGAGGGCCCUGAAGUGUCACCUCCUCGGCCUCUGAAACCAAGCACUCCAAUUAAUGCUUCUGCCUGUCAGUCCCCUAACAACAAAACCUGGCUACCCAGCUCUUUUUCUUGCUACCUCAAAAAUGUUCUGGAAUGGUAACUCACAAAAUCGUUGAGAUUAACCACAAUGAACAAAUUCACAAUGAAACUGAUAAUUCAGGCCUAAUUAAUAACUAGAAGAUUGGUGCUCACUAAAUAGUUCACCCUGAAGGCAGUGGAGAGCCAUUAUCUUAUCCACUUACCUGUAGCUGCCCCCGCAGGUACCAGUAAGCACGUGUAUGCGCAUACAGGCAUAUCCAUGUGGGUUUGCGUGGAGAGGGA
ensembl:lncRNA